CAACUAUCCAUCAAAUUAAUUGGAUGUACACAUGUAAGCUCUAUUAGGCGACCAUACCUUAUAAUCGGCUAUAUAUACAUUUGUAAAAGGUCCCAACAUAAACAAAUAUGGAACAAUUAAAUUCGAAAACUAACGGCCUAAUUUAUAAAAAAAAACAAUAUGACAGUCAUGAACCAACGGCAACCACUGAACUACAAGCCACUGACCUGGGACAGGCACAUAAAGAAGGUGACGUGAUAAACAUGCAUGUGUGUGUACGCUCAACCUCCUAAAUUGAAGUGGAUGUAAGCAAUUAUAGGCAACAAUACGGCCUUCAAUAACGAGAAAAACAUUUCCAUAUAGUCGACCGAUCAUUAAAAGGCCCC
rnacentral:lncRNA from 1 species